rnacentral:rRNA from 1 species
UAAGUAGGUGGAGGAAAAGAAACCGAAUGGGAAUCUCUUAGUAAUGGCGAAUGAAAGGAGAUGUGCUUAGUGUCAAAAUCAGAUCUGUCUGACUUGUAGGCUGUAGGGGCUUUGCCAACUUGGGUGCAGGUGCAAGUCUCUUGGAAAGGAGCACCAGUGAGGGUCAAGGUCCCGUCUGGCAUCUGUCAUCCCUUGUAGACGGUCUGCCCAUUGAGAGUCGUGUUCUUCUGGAGUAGAGCGCCAAUUGGGUGGUACUCUUUGCCCAAGGAGGAUUACGUGCUUGAGACCAAUAGUGAACAAGUACCAUGAGGGAAGGGUGAAAAGGACUUUGGAAAGAGGGUUAAGAGGGCAUGAAGCUGCUGGAAGGGAAGUGGAUUGGACUUUUACAUUGCAGCAAGAUUGCAGGCUGUGAUCUUCACUUGUGGAGCAUCGCGUCUUGUGUCUCUUGCCGCUCGGUUGGGUUUUGCGUUGCGCGCCCAGAAUCUAAGCUUUGACUGGCAGAAGGAUCGCGAUCUGGACCAUGUCAUUGCCAACUUUUGGCGUAGCAUUCAACCUUGACCAAAAGGUUCAAUUUUACCCGUCUUGAAACACGGACCAAGGAGUCUAUUGCGUGUGCAAGUGCAAGGGCAUCACACCCGACAGCUCAACAAAGGUGACUGCUGGGAUCUCUGCACCAGCAACCAACUGAUCGCUUAGGAGAUGUUUGUGUAUGAGCACACUUGCUAGGACCCGAAAGGUGGUGAACUAUGCCUGAGAAGGGUGACGUCAGGGGAAACUCUGAUGGAAGCUCGUAGCGCUACUGACGUGCAAAUCGUUCGUCUGACUUGGGUAUA